GUCCCAUGUUUUACGCUACUCCCUAUCCUGGUUUUAAUGUCUACCCGUAUGCUUUCACGCGUACAAUAUUAUAGAAAGUAUAGGGCGGGGAGGGGUUUCGUGCAGAGAAGAGAUUAUUCUGCUCCGGUUAUUUCCGAUUUCCCCCGAUCUGCGCCGGUUUUAAGGGUUUUAAGGCUUCCAAUUUCUUCGUCGUGUGUUCUGGCGAUACAUCUGCAUCCUCCAUUUCUGGCAUUCUCAUCAUGUUGGACAUUUUAGUGUUGAUGUUUUUUGCUAUCAUGGGACUUGUUUUCCUAUCCUACAUAAUUUACAUGUUAUGAUGUGUGUCCGGAUUUUGGACCCAGCCGGUGAGCCGCUCCUACAUCCGCGGUACCCAUCGCUGACAAUGGGAGGAAUGCUCUUCAACGUGGAGGAGAAGGGGGGCUUUACUGCUCCUCUGGGGGGAAUGAAGAUGGCCCAUCAGAGGGGGAAGACCUUGUAGGGUGGAUAGACUGGCAGCUGGUGGACACUUCUCUGUUGGUCUCUAGAUUCAGCCACCCGACUAUGAUGACCCUUAUCGAGAUCUGGUCUCCUGUACCCCAGUAGGCUCCAAUAGGCAACCCCUGUGCCCUACUGACUCCUCUUCUAAAAUGAUGAUCUGUGUGUAGAACGCAUAGGAGUUAGUAAAGAUGUCAAAUUGGUAAGGAUGUAAAGCUAUAAGGAGGACGGUUGUAUUGCAGUAGUAUUGUUUGUGCCUAUUUGACUACACUGUGAGGGUUAACACUAACCCCCAAACUGUGCAAUGUACAAUAUCUCCAUGUUAAGUUCAUGGUUUCGUGUGUAAGGCUAUAUAAGUAAGUCAAAGGAUAGAGACUUCAUCCUAUCAAGGAACUUGGACAGUUAUUAUCUUAGUCCUAGUUGUUUUCUAUGAACAGGCUGAGAUGAUCUUGAUUGACCUCUACUUGAUCUAAGCGUUGAAGCAGGACUAUGUCCUCUCUGUCCUUUUUACAGUCAGUGAACCUAAAAGGCCAGGGGGUUGUGUUAAUGCAAUAGCUAUUAGCCACAGUCACACAGAGAUUAUAUUGGCAUGUCAGUACUAACAAAAAUGUAUACAUUAAAAGUAUUAGCUAAACUGUUUUUUUCAGAAGCUCUGUUGUGUUCCUGGAAGAGAAGUAUUCCAUCUAAUUAUGGCAUUAAAUUGAUAGGAUCCGGAAGUAACUCCCAUAUCAUCACUCUUGUCACUGUAAUCAUGAAUGACUGAUUUAUCUUAAACAGUAUUGAUAACAGUCGAGUGGUCCACACACCGAAUGCAUGUUUUUAUCCCUCAGAUUCAUCACUGCAGUUUGUUUUUCUCACACAAAUAUAAGUGUUAUAUUUAUCAGAGCCAAGGCAAAUGCUGAUAUUUUUGUGAUGCCAUUGAAAUAAAGGUUUGCGCACGAAAACCUGGCUAACUUUAUUUCACUUCAAAAUGUGUGAAUGUGCAUAGGUAUGCGAGA
ensembl:lncRNA